GGGAAUGACCCAUUAGAAGUUUGUAGGCUCUGUUGGAGUGGAACCUCUCUCCCCAGAUAAGGGCAGGUGGAACAGCUGUGAUAAAUUACUACAUUCAAGUACUUUCUUGGCAGAAAUAUAUUGUUUUUUUGUAAAA